rnacentral:misc_RNA from 1 species
AAUCUUUUGCGAGAACUGUGUGCUGCUUGCAGUGCGCAGUGACUUGCAACAUUAGCACAGGGUCGCAAGACUCUGAUGUUUACGCUUGUUUGUUUGACAGAGUUAGUUGAGAAUAAAUAAAGACAACUUUUAACAAUGGAUCUCUUGGCUCU